UUCUCUUUGCGAUGAGAAUUCUGCAAAUGAUGAAUUCAGCUUGGUUUCGUAAUUGCCAUGGCAUCAAGAACUUCUUUCCCUCAAGCUACUGAAGAAAGAAGGUGCAGCAACAGACAGUUGUUUUGGCUUCUCCAUGCCUGGUUUGCUGUCAGUGUGAUCAGAGAGAAGGAAUCCUUCUUGAAGGAUGUCUUCCCAGAGCUGAGGUGUCACAUCUGAAUUAAGUUCACAAAGGACAAACCAAUUCUGAAUUUUGUGCCUGCAGUAUCCCAAACAUGUAUGGACAGUUAGUCUGAAAGUAUAACAGGGACAAAGAAAUGGACUUUGCCAAAGAAAUAUCAACAGGACUAUCAAAAAGCUACUUAAAAUGUUUAAGACUGUGAAGACUUGGGGUUUGGACAGAAGUGACUUAGCACAUUAUGGAGGAAGGUGCUUGAAUGUGCUUCUGAGGGCAGCUGUUUCCUUUCACUUCUGCCCUGUACCAAAAGAAAUGAAAGAAGAAAGAAAAACAUAGGAAGAAAGAGAAAGAAAGGUGUGAGAGAGAGCUUUCAUGUACAACUGAAGGGGUUUCUGUGCUGAAUCAAAAAUGUUCGGUGUUGAAGAGAAUGCUUUGGCUUUCAAAUAUGGAGAGAAGGAGACAUUUCCCAUCAGUGUGACUAGUCUUUUUAAAUGGAACUGAAAUGGAACUUUCCAAAAGUCCACCACUUCGCAGCAACUGGUGUCAUCUGCGAGAGGGAGGCAAAAUGUUGGAAUUUUUCUAUAGAAGAUAUGUAAAUGCAAAGCAACCUGAGAGUAGUAAGUACCAACGUGCUCCCAGUGCAGAUUUAAGAGCCAGACUUCACAUGCACUGCCUGUGCUGCCGUGUGUGGUGUUUUUUGGAGAAAGCAUUUAAAAAGAUCAAAAAAUUCACAAGAGCAUAUGCCCUGCUGCCUUUUACUGCUCUGGAGCAGGGUUGAAUGUGAAGGACUCUUUCAAGCAUCUCUAUUUUACCCCACGUUUGUGGGAUAGAAGAUGAUGUUUCCUUGCAGAUUUCUUUGCCCUGAACACAAUAGACUUAUCCCUGUGAACAACAAAAGACUAAGCUUUUAGUGAUGCUCUUGAUAGUAUAACUUGAUGAAGGAGCUGUACUUUUCUGCCAUAUUUAUCUGCAGUAUAUUUUUUUAUAGCAGCAAUUCUCCUUACUGCAAAUAAAAACAUUUCAUAAGAUUUCCCUAUUUUCCUUAACUCUCACUGAUUUCAGGCAGUCUCACUUCCAGUAGUCUUCAUCAACCUGAAGUGUGUUUCUCUUCAUUUGCACAAGAACUGCAUAAAUGUAUUUCUGCCUUCAUUUGAAGGAAAUCUUGGCAUCAACCAACUCACGUAAGGCAUAUAUCUCUUCCUGUGCAAUAUGUUUUUAUCUUUCCCUUCCAUUUAGUGGUUUCCAGAUCAUUCAGUUCCUCUGAAUUGUCCUGUGGCACUCGCAAUGGGUCUGUCUUGGAGCUAUCCACUGAGACAAAUGCUUUUAAAACCUUGAGGAAUCAGAUGUCUUCCUGUUAGGGCAAUUUCUGCUUGAGUUAACUAGUCUAUUUCCAUGUUUUUCUCAGCUUAAGGGUCUGCCAAGUGCUAGGAGCCUACAUUUCAUUUAAUUUUAGAAUCUUCAAAAUAUUCAGCAUGCACCAAAAACUAAAGAGUAAUUCACAUCUCACGGUUUCCAUAUAAGUGGAAUGAUGCACUAAAACUGAGAAACGUUUUUUGAAAGUGAUACAAUAAAUUAUUUCUACAGUUCACUAAGAUAUCUGUUAGUCUAGAAUUAGUUCCCUAUAGACUAUAGAUUGACUAUAUUUUCUUUCCUCAAUGAGAUUUAUUUUUCCACAACACAUGCUGUUUGGAACUGUGAUGUAAGUUCAAUUUUUAGCAAGUUUGCAGAUGAAAGUAAAAUCUGAAUCUGUUGCUUGUACCUGAAAAAGCAUCUCUAAUAUAAACAUUGCUGUGUAAGUGAAUAGUGCUAAGAAAGUAUAAGAGAGAAUAUUUAAAGUUACUGUAUUAUAUUAUGGUAGUUAAAGUUUUUCUACGUGUGAACAUCUCCUUUAAGCAAAUAGCACUGUGAUGAAAAAUGACUGUUUCAUUUCUGAAUUUCGAGCUGGCAAGCUAUAAUCAUUCUAUCAGAUUUUCUCACAACGUCAGAUUGAAUUUAUUGUUUCCAGUACACUGGGAAGCGUGAGACUUAUGUGAGCCAGUGUGAGAUGAGGUGCCAGAGAAAAAGUUCAGAAUCACUCAGAUGGAACAACUUUUAAGAUGGGCUGUGAUUUUCAGUAUCUAAAAAGAUUAAAUGUUUGCUUCCUGAAAUUAGCAUUUGAAUUUCUCUAUGAAGCAAUGGGAAGGGCUGCAUUUAACUUAUCAUGAUGUCCAUUGCUCAGAAAAUUCAAGAACUUCUGGUAGUAUUUUAAGAAACUCGAAUAAAUGUCAAAGAGCAUACAAUUUAUACAAUUGCUGCUCUGCAAGUAAUGUCUCCUCUUUUAUUAUGUUGGCCUAUGACAUCAGAGGUGGAUGCAGGUGGUUUGGCAGUAGAGGUUGAACCUUCUCCAUCACAUGUUGUUUCCAUGUGACAAAUGGCAGCAGAGCGGCAGACUGACAGAAUGGCAUCUGAAGCAAAGGUGUGUCACUGAAUUCCUCCACGCAGGAGAAAAUAGUCUCCUUCAGCUAAAAAUAUAUCUUUUAUCAAUUAUAAAAAUAAUUUUCAUCUUUAAUAUUUUUAACAAACCUUGCAUAAAUUAAGAAAAAGAAUGAGAAAAAGCAAUGUGAUAUUUCCCAGAGAUCUACAGAGCAAUAUUUCUUUACUGUUUCUUUCUUCUGAGGUUUCAAGGAAAAUAAAAUAACAUUGAGGAGAUCCAUUUUCUAUGGAAACCCAUAAACAGGCUAGCCACUACUAAAAUGCAAUUGAAAAAAAGAAACAUAGUUUUCCAUUUACGACAGAUUGUUCAAAAGGCAACUGACUGCAUCAACUUUUCUCUCUUGCAGUUCUGAUGACAGUACUAAAUGUAACCUCAAGAACCACUUGGGAUUUUCUUAAUAUUUCUUUGACAAAGAGCUAUUUUUUUUGUCAACAUAGCAAGUGAAAUACACAUAGGCAGUAGGAGCAUGGAGGAGUUUAUCCUUAUGUUAUUUCUGGUAUAAGCAAGGAGGCUCGCAAGCUUUGUUUGUCUGGAUGCUAUCAGUGAGAAUGGUGGUGGUGGUGGCAACAGCAGCUCCUGACCUGCCAAUCCCUCUCAGAGAGGGACAGCUAUUUCUCAAGCAAACACAUAGUUUACCUGCACUGUAUGUGCAUUAUAUAGUCAACUCCUUCCAAAAUAUCUUACCCAAUAUGCCUAUGUGUGACAGCAGAUGUCCUGUGCAAAGGCAGUUGAGUGUAAUUGGAAAGUUUUGUUUUCUAUUAUAUAGCAUGAUAGUAUGUUUGUGCCUUUGAAAUGUGGGAUAGAAACACAGCAGUCCUGUCCAUGAUCUCUAAAGCUAAAAUCCUAAGUUAGUGUCACCUGUGUUAACUCUUGGCAUUGCACUUACAGCCAAUACUGUACCAUUGUUUACAGAGCACACUCCAGUACUGCAUGUACAAUCCAGAGCUGAGAUUUCCUGAGGAGAAAGUGCCCAAUGAUGGAAUUUUACUUUCCAAGUGUGGACGACUGAAGGACAGUUCGAAAAGCCUUCUAUCAAUAUUAGAGGAUACUCAAAAGAGUUUACAAUCUGCUUCCGUAAGUUGCUCAGAAAUCCAUUUAGUUUAAAAUAGAAAGUCACACAGUAACAGAGCAGGAAUGUAAUGCUGGUCAGGUGGAGUAGACUAGCUUCUUGCCUGGUCUUCUUGCUACCUCUGCACUCACUGCAGAAAUUGUGUCUCUUCCUUUGUCCAAAGUCAGAGGAAGGACCAGGCAGGGGGCCAAAGCUCAGUGUAGCUGGCUUGUAUUCACAUAUGAAAUUCAUCUGAUGGCAGCUUUCCUCUGCGGUAGGCUUUGAGAUGAGGAGGAGACAGAUGUGAGAGAAGGCUGGCACUGGCUUUGAGACGAGGAGCCACAGGCUGUCAGUGGUGCCGCUGGUAAGUCUGGGAACCAUGUGCUCUUUAAGCAGUAAUAAGUCACUGGGUUUAAUAUUCAUUUUAGGUUUAAAUACCACAACAACUAAUACCAAUAUGCAUUAUGCAAAAUUGCCACAGUAACUGCAGGCUUCAAAACAAAGAUAAACAAUGCUAUUCUCCUUUACUUAUUUUUUAUACAAUUAUACAAAAUAAGAUUGAUAAUGCCUGCUGACAUUUUCUUCCUUAAAAUUCUAGGCCAAUAUUGUGCUACUAAUGAGAUUUCAAAGGCAGGAGAUGAAAAUAAUAAAUUAAAAGCAAUCUUUGCAUAUUUAGCUUUCCAUUUUAGAAAUCUCUGUAUUUAUCUACAUGGUCUUCUAUUAUCUUUUAUUUUGUCUCUCUCUAAUCUCAUUAUUAUAUCUUAAUUCUAACCUGUUCUGCUUUUCGCAGUAAAGCUUGCUGUAAUCUUUUCUGAUAACAUUAGCAUGGGAAAACAUUUUUAUCAAAUGGAUAAUAACAAAAUAAAUUACUUUUGCUCAUUCUGCAAUAAAUAAUAUGAUCUAAAGUUCAUGAUGUUGGGGGCUGAGGCUGUAAAACAAGAUGUUACAAUUCAUAAUUAGCUUUCUAAAUAAUGAAUACUGAAUCAAAUGUAAGUCAUAGCUUCAAAACUCAUGAGUUUUCAGAAUUCAGGAUCAAUAAAAAGCUCAGGUUUAUCAUGUCUGACUACUUAUCCAAGGGGCUGACUGCUAAUUGCUUUGGUCUUUAUCACAUUUCAGAAUGGAGCUGUUCUUUUUGAGGUCUUCACCUGCAGAAAAUAUAUAUUACUGCAAAAUACCACCAAAACAGAGAUUACCACUUAAGAUCUCUUUGCCAUUUCUUAACACAAGAGGAAAUAGCAGUCCAUCAGGAAGGGGAUAGGCAGUUAAAGCAUCUUAUUCCUUCUUUUCACUGGUCUUGGAUUAACCUGUUUGACAUUAUAGAUCAUUCUGAUAUGUCUGCUUAUUUUAGUGGAAUCCCAGCAAUGUGAAGUUACAGCAAUGCAGAGCUGAGCCAAAACCCAGCUGUUUGUAUGAUCUUUUUAACUGUUUAUCUCAUUGGGAAUUGCCAUCUCCUGCCAAAUCAGAUGUGAUUCAAAGGACAUUUAAAAACGGAUGUGAUUAUUUAGACAUGUCCAGACAAUCAUUUAACUCGUGCAAUGUGAAAAUGUAAGUUUUGCUCACUUGCAUGAUAUGCCAUUGGCCUUGCGAGGGCUAGCCUAUAUUUGAAGGCAUUUCAUUGCAUUCUCUUUUUUUUUCUUUUUUCUUUUUUUCUUUCUGAUAGGAAAUGUUAUCUGCAAUGAAUUUUGGUAUAUUACUCAGAGAAGCCACAUGAGCUCUCAGUCUGGAACUGUGUGACUUGGAUGCCUUGCCCAUACAAAUCAACGGCGAGUUUUUUGUACGCUGUUCCAGAAACACUGGCCUUACUGGACAUCAUCUGUUCAUUUGCAGCAAAUCCAAUAUAUCUUCUAAACACUGGGCUAACUGCCCAUGGGUUACGUGCUGCAUUAGAUGCAUACUUUAAUCUAGUAUAUCCCUAACAGGAAGACGCUAACCUGUAGAGAAGUAGGACGAGAAAAAGACUGUCACCCUGAAUUUCAGGAUUAAUUCAAUGAUCUUUUUAUCAUCCCAGUUUAUGUUUUCUUCGAUUUUUGCUUUUUCUUAAAUUUUUGAUUUUUACUUUUGUCAAUCUUGCCACAUUUAACAUCCAAUUUUUUAAUACUCUGGCUUUUCCAGGCUGCUUCUGGUUCAGCUCACCUAACAGUUGUCAGAUAUAGCAUGAUCUUUUUAGCUUUAGCAUCUUGUUCCAUUUACCAUCAUUCCUAAUUGCUAUAUGAAGGUGAAUUCCCAUCUGUAAAUAGAGAUUUGGUAUCCAGGCCAAGAGAAGCAAUCACCUGUGUCUACAUUUCAUAGUGUCAGGUGAUAUUUUAUACACAGUUGUUUUCACAGACCUCACAGAUCACUUGCAGUACAAUAUUUGGGGAGCUGGAAGCCUGACUUAAUGAUCACUGCUCAUGCACAUGGUUGCUGGAAAAUCAUUCAUGAAUAUUGAAUCCAAUUAUUAUGAACAGGUGCAACCAAGUAACUACAUUUCAUGCUCACUGAGAUAUCACAAACACUUAAAUUUGAUAAAGUUAAUACACAAAUAUAUACUCUGGUACACAACAAUAACUUCAUGUACAUUCAUGAGAAUGCAAAUAUAAUGAUCAUGAUUCUCAGUUUUGAGGUUGUGAUCAAGAUUCAUUUGCAGUAAUUUUAAACAAUUAUUUCACCUCAUUGCUUAAUUCUUUCUACAGCUGUGAAUUCAAUAAGGGGAGAAAGAAAAUAGCUUGUGGUAAUCCCUCUCAUACUGAAAGCUGUAACUCAUUUAGGUCUCGGGGAGAAAGAAAGGAAGUGAUUGGUGCUUUCUGAAAAUCUUUCUGAGCUGCAUUGUUCAGUUAUUUCCAGUAGUAGGCAUUUCCUUUUUUAAUUGGGACCAGGUCCCAGGCUCCUUCUGGAACUUGAAUGAGUCAGUCAUGGGCACAUACCUGAGCAUGUACUCACAGUAUAUACUCAAGUCUAUUGGUUAUACACUUUUGACAGCAACUAUGUUUUUAAUCAUAUGGAAAAGCAUAGCAGCUUGUAGGUAGUCAAAGCCAGUUCACAGAACUCUGGUGCCACCGUUGUCAAUCCAGCCCCACCAGAAACUUUUUAGAAUCCAAUUUAAAAAUAUGGAGACUGCUCCAAAAGUAAUGCCUCCUAAUUUAUUAUGUUGGCCCAUGACAUCAGAGGCUAAUGUUGCCAGUAUGGCAGUAGAGGUUGAACCUUCCCACCCAUAUUCCAUUAUAUUUUGUUGCGUCUGUGUGACAGUUGGCAGCAAAGAGGCAGACUGACAAAAUAGUAUCCGACAUGGAAGGGCAUCUGUAGCAAAGAGAUGUCACUGAAUAAUUCAUCCAUGCAGGAAAAAAUGGCACCCAUUGGCAACUGUCAAUGCUUGUUGAAUGUUUCUGGGUAACAACAAGUGGAUGUGAGCGCAGUGAGGUGGUGGUGGUGCAUUUCAGCAGUGUUGACAGUGACAGUCAGCUCCACUGGUGCAGAUGUUUACGAGUGCAGUAUGAAGGCUCUUGCUCAUUGUGGGCAUAGCUAAUGUUAGUGACAAUGUUGAAAAAUAGUAUUUUGUAGCCGAAAAUUUGCUCUAUCAAAUAGAGUUGUUGUAUUCUUUGUAUCUGUUGCAGUUUCUGUGGACAUAAAUAGGAGUUCUUACUUUCAGAGAGACCUACAUAUCUUUCAUCACUGCAGAAACCAGAACGUAAGAACUGGCAUGAGAAAACCAUGUCUGAUUUCCUAUCCAAAUUAUAUUUAAUUUCCCAGGAUUGUCCUUUAUCUUGCAUAAUUCUUCCUGCAAUCUAUGUACCAAAAGAAAAGAUGCAUAUCCUUUUUUAGCCUUCUGCUGAAGAUAACUUCCUGUCUUUCAGAAUGAAUGACUUUCUUUUAUACCUAAAAAUCCUUUAUCUGCAUGUAUUCUCAUAGUUUGUAUUCUUUCCUGAGCUAGGAUACCACAGACCUAAGCAGUGUUGUUCAGCUCCAUUAAUGCUUUUUGAUUUGGAAGCACAAGUGGUGAGUUGCCUCCACUGCUCUGCUGUGAUUGCACAUUGCGUUCACAAGGGAAAAAUGUCCUUAUGAAAAUUGGUCUCAUUAUUUUUAUGCUUCAUAGUUUCCAAUAAAACAAUUUUCACCAGAAAUGGGACUGUUGUACAUCACUGAGCAGAAAAGGAAAUGUUCAGCAACCUGAUAACCUUGUAGAAAUUGUUGUUGCUGACCUGAGCCCUGAGCUGAAAGUUAAAAUGAUAACAGCAAUAAUAAUAACAAUACUAUUAAUCUCUAAUGACUUCAGAAAAUACUUCUUCCUGUUUAGAGAAAUUCUGUGUACUGAAUCUUUGAGUUCCAUCCUCAGUAUUCACUUGGGUUUCUGUAUAUAAUGAUUCCUUAUAUAUUUAUCAAAAGUCAUCUUCAUCAAUUCAAUCUUCUGUCUGUUGGGCCAUAUUCUCCCUCAUUAUUUCCAAGGUGAUGGCAGGGCACUUUGCAAUUGGCCUUCAGUGAGAUCUGCUAACAAAAUCUCUCUCUCCUUUAAUAUUUUUCUUUAACAGCAAGGAAUAAAAAAAGGCAUUUGAGUAUUCCAUAACCUAGACAAGGACUGAAAGUGGCCUGAAUAUGUCUGGAAUAAUAGAGACCAAUUUUUGAUUAGUUCUGGUUAUGUAAAACCGAAGAUAAUUAGGAUUUCCUCCAAAACUUUAAAAUUAAAAAAGGAAGAGAUUAUUAAAGUCUAUCUAAAUAGUCAGAUUAAGGUUUGCUCCUCAAGUUUUUAGCUUUGGCACUUCUUUAAGCAAUGUGGAAAUGUAGACUAUGAGUAACUGGGAUAUGCAGCACAGAAUGGUACUUGGAGGUUGAAUUCAUACUCCUACCCAAAUCAACAUACACAUGUGCACACUCAUUUUGCAUUUGACUUAGGCAAGGACAGGAAUUCACUUCAAAGUGUUAAUACUGCCUACUUACCAGGAGGGUGACUUGGAGAACAACCAUUUGCCUUUCUUAUGUUUAGUGGGCAUCCGCUGGGCAGAUGUAGGAUAACAUAUUUUAGAUUAAGCCUUGUGUAACUGCUUAGAAGAUGCUGUGUCUUAUUUACAUUUUACCAUCUCUCAAGGAGAAUGUAAUGCUAUUAUCCAUAUGUCAUCUGCUUAUUGUUCUUGAAUAAUGCAUACAAGAUUCGUGACUUCCCACUGUGGUACUUCAUACUCAUGUUGCUGUAAUAUUACAUCCAUUUAAAGCUGUACUAAUGUAGUGGCAAAUAAGGCUAUCCAUACGUUCAGCAUGUCUUUCCUAUCCAUAAAGAGAAGCCAAGUCACAGAUGGUUUUUACAAUGUUAUAAUUAAUAAUCAUGGUAUCAUGUUAGUGUCAUCUUAACAUAAUAAAAAAGUGGAUCUAUAAAUUGUUUUCAGCUUUUUCACAGCAUUUACAAUGACUUUUUGUAGCUUUUCCCAGCAGCGGGAUCUCUGACAGUAACAUUUUUUGAGCUGCAUUCACAAAGAAUAAUUUCAGGUUAAUGAUUUUUUUCUUGGAUACUAUUUGUGAAGUGGCAUCAUUAAUUUUUUUCUAUCUAUCAUUUUUUAGUCUAGUUCUUUAUAGAGCUAGAUUUUUAAAACAAAAAUCUUACCUUUUCUUUCUUAGAUUUCCAAGCAAAUAUACUUUGCAAAACAUAGUGUGUUACAUCAUUCCUCUGCUGGCCUGAAUUUUGAACAGCCUAAGAUGAAUGUCAUUUCCAAGUCUCAGCACCAUAAUAUCUAUGUGGGCAGCCCAAACCUGGAUUGAUACAGAAAUACUACCUGUUCUUUUGAGGUUACCUUUACUACCAAUUCUGUAAAGCGAUGGAGGAAUAUACAGUAUGGGUAUUGGUGAACUGUAUCAUUGUAUGAGUAUGUAUUUUCUUCAGUGAUUUGUGGUAUUUCCUGUUCUUUCUCUUUGCUGAAAAAACAUGGGUAUGUUUCUAAUUGAGCUCAUGUUUGGUCUUUUUUUUUUAAAUCUGGAUAAGAUUAUACCAAGAGUAGAUGCAGCUCUAAAACACUGCUCUUUCUGUAACCUCUAAAAGCACAUUCGAAGUUCCCUUUUAAUCUGGGUUUCCCUCAGUCUUGCUCCCACUCACAGGGACAAACCCUGUUGAGGGGCUCUGUAUUACCAUCUUGAUCUUGACAGUAACUGGCAGUGAAAUGGCAUACUGGGAUAUGUUAAGGGUGGAGAUGUCCUAGCAGUUUAUUUCAGAACCUCAAGUCAAAUUUCAUUCAAGUUCUUUUUUUGAGAAUGGCGAAGAUUAAGCAUAUUCCCAGACUCACCUGGCUGUUGAGGAGCCCAGCCAUUGUUGUACGUUACAGGCAUGCUGGAGGGAAUGUACUCUUCAAGAAUAGUUAUGUAAUUUGAUUAUUUUGUUACCUAAACACAUGUACUGUUUCCUACUCAGAAAAGAAUAAAUAUAUUUUUAUACACAAUAGCUGUAAAUUACUUGAUGUCUUCUGCUAUUCUAAAUCGGAGUUCUUCGUUGCAAUAAAAUGCACAAGGAGCAAGAAAAUAUUUACAGUCAUAUUGUUGUAUAUUUCAGAAAAAGUCUCUUGCAGUGGCCCAAAGAGAUGAUAUCUGGAGAGUCUAAGGCUACAAGCUUAAUGUGUGCCUGGUCUCUUCCAAGCUCCAGUCCUCGUUUUAUUGGAAAUUUACUGAAUCACCACGAAGAUUUGAGUUUAGUAUUAAACAAUGAACAACUGGAAACUAGUAAAUUUAAAACCAUCAAAAAGCUUCAAGAUUCUUCUUGGAUGAAAUCUUUGUUAUCCUGGAUUUACAAAUCCUACUGUAAUUCAGUGACAGUCAAACUUACUUUUUCCCACCUUCUUCAAAGCUAUAAAAAACUUUGCUUGCUACAGAAAUUGCAGAGUUAAAUAUACCUUCAGAUUUCUGUGAAUAUAAGCCAUUUCUCCCUGAAUUUUGCUGGCUAGAUUGAAUUUCUCUCUCUCUUUUUUUUUUUUUUAAGGAAAAACGUAACAUUUGGUAUUAACUUAUUAGGUGUACUUGGUAAGUAAAUGUAUUUUAAAACUUUUUUACAGAAUAUUUCUUUCAAAAUAGCUGUAAGAUACUGAAAUACUUGUUUUAUAACAUCACCUAUCAUGAUUGAAUGGAACGAGGUAAUGUCCAACACUGUCUGAGUAACUUCAUCCUUCUUCCAAAUUUGCUGAACGAUCAUUUACUGUUUCCUAUUUCAGAUGAUCAAGCAUUUUAUUGAUGAACCUUAUAAAAAACUUAUUCAAAACCAUACUGGAAUUCAAUGACAGAUCUGAAAAUUGAAUGGCUUUUGUGCAUGGACCACCAUAGGUUGUAUCAGGAAGAUCCUGAUAUAACCAAGUAGUCCUCCAAAGACAAACCUCUCUCCAGGAGUAAAAUAUGAGCUACAGUCCUGGAGGGGGUUAACCCUCAGUUCAAGAAUAGUUAUUCAUUCCUGUAAUUGAAUACAAAAGACAUAGGGAUUGAUUUUCACCUACACCCAAAUUCAUGGCUCCUGUGAGGGUCUAAGCUGCUGACAAAUAAUUUCAGCUUCAGCCAUUGAUUAUGCUUCCAUAGUGAACAUUAGAUAUACACUAAAAUUGAUAUAGCAUGUAUUGCAGGAGUCAUAUAAUAUAAGUACUCCCCAUUUCUUAGCCAAUCUGUCACUACUCUUAAGCUGUGCCAUGCACAGGAGAUGCAGGAUUUGCUUUCCUAAGGAGGAAAUGGCCAUCAAGUAGAAAAAUGAAUUCACCUUUAUUGUACUGUGGUGAUGUGGUGAAGAUAAUUACUGCAGCUCUAUUACAUUUGUUUUGAAACACAUAGCCUUUGCCUUUUCAAAUUGCCUUGACCAUAUCACCACUCGUGUAUUUGCAAUGAAAAUCUGACAUCAGAGGACAGAAUAAUAACAGGAGAAAUCCUCAUUUCAUAUUUACCUUGUUUACUCUCCUGAGUCACUGAAAACACAGUGAUCUAGGUCCAUGCUUUUAUACUUCUUUUUACUAUAUAUACACACAUAUAUAAAAAAAUUAGCGUGUGUACUGCCAAACUCUGUAGGUCGCUACUCAUCUUCCCAGGUAUCUUCACACACCAUAAUUUCUGGUGCUUAGAAUUGGUAGACUGCAAAAAGUAGCACUCCUGUGUUCCCUCUCAUUCAUACUGUGAAUACUCAGUUCUCCAAGAAUUUUGCUGCUGGUUUCUGACCAGCCAAGCCCAUAUCAAAACCAGCCAAAGUCUAAUCAUAAUUUUGCCAAUUAAAACUUGUGUGCUAUUAUUUGGUGUUUUUUUUUGUUUGCUUUUUAUUUAUUUUUUUUAUAGUCUAAAGCAUAAUGUACUGUCUGCUGUUAAAAUACAAUCCUGUUUACCUCCUCAUGGCUCACUGAAAAAAAAAGAUAUAUGCUUACAAUGACAACUUUUAAAAUGUUUUUUAUUUCUUCAUAUUUCUCCUCAAAGCUUCAAUUUAAUCAAUAAUUCUAACUAGCUAUCAGAGUACUUAUCUUUAUUUUUCCUAAUAAAAAUGAAUAGUUGGAGUAGAAUGUGUCCAAAGCCAUUUUUAUCCAUUCCUUCUUCAUGACUUACCUCUUCUCUUUUGUGUAGUGAAUUUUAGCAUUUCAAAUUUUAAGGUAAAGAAAAAUCCUUCUCCUUGAAGAAGAAUUUCUCAUCAAGAGAGCCUUUUUUUUAAAGUAAGGAUAGCAAAUACAGCCUGAUGGAAUAAACACCUUAAGACAUUUUCCAUACAUGAAUAUCUCUUUAACAUAAUUAAAAUUCUAGAGAUUAAAUUCUUUGCAGGCUUAACUCAACUGAAAGAAUAAAAGACAUUGUGAUAAAACUGUAUGAUUACUUCGGUCUCCAUGUAGUAUAAAGUACAAUUCCAUAGGAUUUCUUCAGUAACCCACGUUCAUAGUGAUCUUAAUUUUUGCUUUGUCAGAAGAGCUUUAUGAUAGGUUAAUUCUUCAGAAAUACAUAUCAUCCUUUACAGCAUAUUUCAUUUAUUUCUCCAUUAUGAAACGCAAUUUUUGGAAUUAUUAUUCUUUUUAUUAUUAUUGUUAUUACAGAACUUCCAGUGUUGGACAAAUUUACUGCUGGUACCUUCCUGUUUUCAUCCCUUUUCUUCCAAUUCCGGUGCCUAAACAAUUGAUUGUUCACUUGGAAAAACAAUUUGUUUUCCCUAAUGAAAAAAGAUAAGACUGCAUUGCCUAUUUUGUGUGGAACCGGGGCUCCUCCACCUUCUGCAUUUUAUCCUAUUACAUCAUAAGUCUUGCUUCUAGAGAGAAAUCAGAAUGAGAGAUUGCAGCCUGUAGAGCUGCUACUUAUAUAGUUGCUACAGCUACUAUCUUAGCAUGCUCAAACAUAUUCCUGAUCUGCUUUUUUUUUCCUCGGUUUUUUUUCUGAUUAAUGGUGGUUUUCCUGAUAUGUUAGAAUAUCAUUGUUGUAUCCGCAGAAAUACUAUCUCUCAUUUGAAGGGUGGUGGGAUUUUUUUCAACUUAAAUGUUUAUUUUGUGCAUAAUAAUACUAAUUUCAGUUCCUAAUUUUCAAGUAAGGCAAUUAGGACACUAAAAGUUCCCAAUCAUGGAAAAAAUGAUUAGUUGCUAGAAGAUAAAGAUUUGCAAAUUUGAACAAAUUUGUAUGUAUUUAUGUAUAUAUGAGUUGGUUUGCAUGCGCAACUUUGAAUUUUACAUAAAUGACAUGAACUCAUUUAAAUAUAUAAAAGUUAAAAUCCAGUAUUUUUUCUAUUCAUGUUAUGUGGAAUUUAAUAGCUUUUUAAAAAAGGCGUGCAUUUUCAUGUAUUGAAAUGUAAGCAAAAUUAUGUAUAUUCUUCAUUAACUUUUGCAGUGUGGAUAUGUAAGUGAAACUAAGCACUCAAAAGCUAAGCAAAGUUUGUGUUGUUUACAUAAAAGUUUUGGU